UACGUAGGGUGCAGGCGUUAAUCGGAAUUACUGGGCGUAAAGCGUGCGCAGGCGGCUCCUUAAGUCAGAUGUGAAAGCCCCGGGCUUAACCUGGGAACUGCGUUUGAAACUGGGGAGCUGGAGUGUGGAAGAGGGGGGUGGAAUUCCAGGUGUAGCAGUGAAAUGCGUAGAGAUCUGGAGGAACACCGAUGGCGAAGGCAGCCCCCUGGGCUAACACUGACGCUCAUGCACGAAAGCGCGGGGAGCAAACAGG
rnacentral:rRNA from 1 species